rnacentral:rRNA from 1 species
CCUACGGGUGGCAGCAGUGGGGAAUAUUGGACAAUGGGGGGAACCCUGAUCCAGCGACGCCGCGUGAGUGAAGAAGUAUUUCGGUAUGUAAAGCUCUAUCAGCAGGGAAGAAAGAAAUGACGGUACCUGACUAAGAAGCCCCGGCUAACUACGUGCCAGCAGCCGCGGUAAUACGUAGGGGGCAAGCGUUAUCCGGAUUUACUGGGUGUAAGGGGAGCGUAGGCGGCGAUGCAAGUCUGAAGUGAAAGGCGGGGGCCCAACCCCCGGACUGCUUUGGAAACUGUAUGGCUGGAGUGCAGGAGAGGUAAGUGGAAUUCCUAGUGUAGCGGUGAAAUGCGUAGAUAUUAGGAGGAACACCAGUGGCGAAGGCGGCUUACUGAACUGUAACUGACGUUGAGGCUCGAAAGCGUGGGGAGCAAACAGGAUUAGAUACCCCUGUAGUC